AACGAACGCCGGCGGCAUGCCUAACACAUGCAAGUCGAACGAGACCUUCGGGUCUAGUGGCGCACGGGUGAGUAACGCGUGGGAACCUGCCCUUAGGUUCGGAAUAACUCCCCGAAAGGGGUGCUAAUACCGGAUAAUGUCUUCGGACCAAAGAUUUAUCGCCUUUGGAUGGGCCCGCGUUGGAUUAGCUAGUUGGUAGGGUAAAAGCCUACCAAGGCGACGAUCCAUAGCUGGUCUGAGAGGAUGAUCAGCCACACUGGGACUGAGACACGGCCCAGACUCCUACGGGAGGCAGCAGUGGGGAAUAUUGGACAAUGGGCGAAAGCCUGAUCCAGCAAUGCCGCGUGAGUGAUGAAGGCCUUAGGGUUGUAAAGCUCUUUUACCCGGGAUGAUAAUGACAGUACCGGGAGAAUAAGCUCCGGCUAACUCCGUG
rnacentral:rRNA from 1 species